GGGUAGAAGAACCUCGGAAAUUUGGCCUUAGAAAACCCCAAGGGGUGGAGUUGCAGAGGUAGGGGGUAGAAGAACCUCGGAAAUUUGGCCUUAGAAAACCCCAAGGGGUGGAGUUGCAGGGGUAGGUGGCAGAAGAACCUCGGAAUUUUGGCCUUAGAAAACUCCAAGGGGU